CCGUGCUAGUCGGGGCGUUAGCGGUGUCUUGUAACCCACAAUCCGCUAUAGUGGGGACGAUGUCUAUAGGAGGUAUUUGUUUUGUAUGGUCUGCCCUUUUGCGUUAGUGAUGAAGAUUGAGUCUUGUGCAACAGGAACUUAUGAACCGUGUCAGGGUCGGAAGGCAGCAGCACUAAGUAAGCACUCUUGUGUGCCGCAGGGUAGCUUAGUCGGAGCUAAUAAUAAAGGUAACGCAUGGAAAGCAAUAUCGAAUAUAGAUGCACGG
rfam:Clostridium sp. ASF356 genomic scaffold acMac-supercont1.2, whole genome shotgun sequence.